rfam:Loxodonta africana unplaced genomic scaffold scaffold_25, whole genome shotgun sequence.
ACCCUGGUGACUUAGUGGUUAAGUGCUAUGGCUGCUAACCGAGAGGUCGGCAGUUCAAAUCUGCCCGGUG